GUACAGUAGAUUCUGUAAUUUUUAGGAAUUCGGACGCAGUGACUAUAGCUGAUUGUAUUUUGGACGUAGUUUGUUGAUAUUAAUUUUCGCCAAAUUUUCUGCGAACUGGUAAAUGUUUGUGUGUUCAGCACAUCACAUCAACCAGUUGAGAAGCAGUACUCCACUCUUACCACAAUUCCAAUCGCUAUUGUGUCAAACAGUUUAAUUUUCUUAUCCAGCUGAUAUUUUAUUUUGGUUAAUACACCAGAACUUCUAAGAUCGAAAUGAAGGCAAAUUUCGUCAUUCUCCUUAUUGCCAUUUUGGCUAUAAGUGCUUUUGCUCCAAUCGUGGUUGAAGCUUGUUUAAAACAUGACUCGCCAUGCAAAGGAGCACAUAGAAGCCAAUCAACUUGCUGUAAAGGAUUGUAUUGCCAUAAACCCAAUCCAACAUGGGCCGAAGGACGUUGCUUAUACCGAUAAUAACCUGUGUAAUAAUAUUAUGUCCAAAUAAUCGACACUCAAGUUGACAUACACUACUUGCUUCAAUCGAACAUUGAAUAAAAAGACGUUUAGAAUUGAA